UACAGAGGUCCCAAGCGUUGUUCGGAUUCACUGGGCGUAAAGGGUGCGUAGGUGGUUAGGUAAGUCCGAUGUGAAAUCUCCAGGCUCAACCUGGAAAUGGCAUUGGAUACUAUCUAGCUUGAGGAGUGGAGGGGGACUGGAAUUCUCGGUGUAGCAGUGAAAUGCGUAGAUAUCGAGAGGAACACCAGUGGCGAAGGCGAGUCCCUGGACAACACCUGAGCACUGAAGGCAGCGAAAGCUAGGGGAGCAAACAGG
rnacentral:rRNA from 1 species